AAAAUUUUUUAUUUCCAAAGAAACUGGUGUGAACGUUGGAGCUGUUACGGACGAUUGGGAAAAUCCCGAAGCCCCCCCCGGCUUGUUUCCAUUUUUUCCUAAAUGCGCAUUUCGACUUUCGGAUAGUCGAACUCAUCGCAAUGGACGCACAAAUGUCCCCAUCCAGGUAAUUCCGCGUGUGUUGUUUUUCCGUGACGAAGAAAACCGGUUUUUUUCCCGGAAUGAAUUGACGUAAUCGGCCAAGCCCAUUGACUCAUCUUCACGCGGAACUCGUGCUCCGAAAGUAGGCGGUGCCGGUACACGGAUGUUUUCCAGCAGAAACGUUCUACAAUAAGGAAAUAAAAGAAUAAUUUCCAAUAAUAAAAACGAUGGUUUCAAUGGCCGGAACGAUCUCGAUUUCCGAAGCCUACAGCAAAGUUGGAUAUAGCUCGUUUAUCUAUCUAAUAAUCAGCCAAAUUAUUAGAGGAAACAGACCAUGCCAAUAAACGCAAAAACCACAACAAUCGAACUGUUAAACGUUUAAAAGUCGAUAACCAAUCGCCAAGGAUUUUUCCACAGGCCGUUACGUUCAAGGAUGUCAACGUCUGGAGGCAGUCUCCGCUUGCCAACUGCGAUUGAACGGAACUCUGUCCAAAAAUGUGCAAGUCAAUUGGAUGUGCCGGAAAUGAACGGACAAUAAGGCAAACACGACAAACCGUGUUUCCCGUUUAACGGAAAAUGAUGUGACCGUCCGC